CACCAAACUGAAAUGAGAAGUCAGUAACCACAAUAUUUACCUGCUCAAGAACAAAAGAAAUGGUACAAUAAUAUUUUUACAAAGAAAAAGAUUACUUUAAUUAUCCACCUUUUUUUUUUAUAAUUUCUUUAUCUGAAAUGCAUGCAUGCAUGGUUGGAUCAAAGAAUUACAGGGUUUAUAUGAUUACUGUGGCCAUGCCAGACAUCACAGUAACAUCCCCC
rnacentral:lncRNA from 1 species